AACUUUCAACAACGGAUCUCUUGGCUCUCGCAUCGAUGAAGAACGCAGCGAAAUGCGAUAAGUAAUGUGAAUUGCAGAAUUCAGUGAAUCAUCGAAUCUUUGAACGCACCUUGCGCUCCUUGGUAUUCCGAGGAGCAUGCCUGUUUG
rnacentral:rRNA from 1 species